CUGUAAAAAAUUACCGUUAAUUUACGGCCUAAUUUUACGGUACUGAACUGUUUUAUAAAUUUACAGUUUCUUGCCGUAAAUGGUUGCAUGAGUGGUGAGCGUGGGGGAGGAACUGCACUGAAAUUACUGAGUGGUAUGUGUUGGCCACUUAUUAAUAUGCAUUUUCUGUCUGGACUUGUAUUAUAAAGACUGAAUAAUUUUGAAACGUCAUCAGUAGAUGGCCAAGUACUGUUCCAAUUCAAAGUUAACUUCUAGCAAAGAACAGUUAAAAUCCUAUAUGUGUUCCAGUACAGUAAACGUUUGUUUUGGACUGCAUAACUCCUUUAAUAUAACCAUAAAUAAUGUCAUAAAAGGUCUGUUCAUUCAAUAAACCGGGCAAAAUCUGUAUGAACGUAUACGUAGAAAUAAUAUUGAGGACACACUGCACGAUAAUGAAACCUUUAGUUUGAUUAAAAGUCGAUUAAUAUUUCUGUUUUUAUUUUUUAUUAAAUAAAUAUUCUAUGUUGGCUCUAAACAGGCAACUUUCUUUCUUGGAAGCAGCACUGGAAGAAGCACUUUACUUUCAUCUUUUAUAUCUUUAUUUACUUUUAUUAUGUUAUUAUUGGCGGAGGCGCGUAAGGCGCGUGUCCGUAUACCGAAUGCUUUGAUCACGUGAUUAUUCAAACCAGGAGACGCGCAAUCUGGAUUAACCGCUGUUCUCCUCAGACGAGUGUUUUGGUGGUAUUAUGAGAUCCCUUUCUUGGUGUGUCUUGAUGUUUUAUAUUGGCUAAAGACAAGAUAUGUCUGCAAAUGCUGGUUCCAUGUCACAUGGCUUAUUCAAGACUAGAUCUACAAAAAAAC